rnacentral:tRNA from 1 species
GCAGUGGUGGUUCAGUGGUAGAAUUCUAACCUUCAGUGCAGGAGACCUGGGUUCGAUUCCUGACCAAUGCA